UACGAAGGGGGCUAGCGUUGCUCGGAAUCACUGGGCGUAAAGGGCGCGUAGGCGGACUUUUUAAGUCAGGGGGUGAAAUCCUGAGGCUCAACCUCAGAACUGCCUUUGAUACUGAGGGUCUCGAGACCGGUAGAGGUAAGUGGAACUGCGAGUGUAGAGGUGAAAUUCGUAGAUAUUCGGAAGAACACCAGUGGCGAAGGCGCUU
rnacentral:rRNA from 1 species